UGCCCCGUGGCUGAGUUGGUUACAGCGUCCGACUGUUACCGAGCCCAUUGGUUCAGACAUCGGAAGGUCGUGAGUUCGAGCCUCACCGGGGCAG
rnacentral:tRNA from 1 species